AGUAGAGAUGGGGUUUCACCAUGUUGGCCAGGCUGGUCUCAAACUCCUGACCUCAAGUGAUCCACCUGCCUCAGCCUUCCAAAAUGCUGGGAUUACAGGCAUGAGCCACCACGCCUGGCUUGUGGUUGAAAUCUUAACCCACAAUAUGAUGGUGUUGGGAUGUGGAGCCUUUGGGAGGUGAUUAGAUAAUGAAGGUGGAGACCUCAAGAAUGGGAUUAGUGACAUUCUUUAAAAGGCCCUGGAGACUGGGUACAGUGGCUCAUGCCUGUAAUCUCAGCACUUUGGGAGGCUGAGGCAUGAGCCACUGCAUCCAGCCAAGUUACCCACUCUUAAGGUAUUUUGUUAUAACCACCUGAACAAGAACAAAGACAUUCUCUAAGCCAUGUAGUACACAUUCAUAAAUCUGGGGUUUUAAAUACCUUCCUCCUAUAAUUGUCACGAGGGACAGAUUCAAGUUUCAUUUGGUUGAAGCUUCUAAACCUGGAAGGAACCUAAAAUGAGCUUCAG
rnacentral:lncRNA from 10 species